UAAAAAUAAAGCAUGAGGAGAG
rnacentral:piRNA from 1 species